rnacentral:rRNA from 1 species
CGGAGGAAAAGAAACUAACAAGGAUUCCCCUAGUAACUGCGAGUGAAGCGGAAAAGCUCAAAUUUAAAAUCUGGCAGUCUUUGGCUGUCCGAGUUGUAAUCUAGAGAAGUGUUAUCCGCGCUGGACCGUGUACAAGUCUCCUGGAAUGGAGCGUCAUAGAGGGUGAGAAUCCCGUCUUUGACACGGACUGCCAGGGCUUUGUGAUGCGCUCUCAAAGAGUCGAGUUGUUUGGGAAUGCAGCUCAAAAUGGGUGGUAAAUUCCAUCUAAAGCUAAAUAUUGGCGAGAGACCGAUAGCGAACAAGUACCGUGAGGGAAAGAUGAAAAGAACUUUGGAAAGAGAGUUAAACAGUACGUGAAAUUGCUGAAAGGGAAACGCUUGAAGUCAGUCGCAUUGUGUGGGAAUCAACCCUGCUUUUGCUGGGCGUAUUUUCCAUAUGAUGGGUCAGCAUCAAUUUCGACCGUUGGAUAAAGUUCAAGGGAAUGUGGCAUCUUCGGAUGUGUUAUAGCCCUUGGUUGUAUACAACGAUUGGGAUUGAGGAACUCAGCACGCCGAAAGGCCGGGUCUCGUACCACGUUCGUGCUUAGGAUGCUGGCAUAAUGGCUUUAAUCGACCCGUCUUGAA